rnacentral:rRNA from 1 species
CCUACGGGGGGCAGCAGUGGGGAAUAUUGGACAAUGGGCGAAAGCCUGAUCCAGCCAUGCCGCGUGUGUGAAGAAGGCCUUCGGGUUGUAAAGCACUUUCAGUGGGGAAGAAAGCCUUGGGGCUAAUACCCUCGAGGAAGGACAUCACCCACAGAAGAAGCACCGGCUAACUCCGUGCCAGCAGCCGCGGUAAUACGGAGGGUGCGAGCGUUAAUCGGAAUUACUGGGCGUAAAGCGCGCGUAGGCGGUCUGAUAAGCCGGUUGUGAAAGCCCCGGGCUCAACCUGGGAACGGCAUCCGGAACUGUCAGGCUAGAGUGCAGGGGAGGAAGGUAGAAUUCCCGGUGUAGCGGUGAAAUGCGUAGAGAUCGGGAGGAAUACCAGUGGCGAAGGCGGCCUUCUGGACUGACACUGACGCUGAGGUGCGAAAGCGUGGGUAGCAAACAGGAUUAGAUACCCCUGUAGUC